UUCUCCCACUCAACUUUCCAUGACAAUUUUUGGGUAAAGCCCUCUGAAGAGCCAGCUUUUGUUAUCAAUAACCUUUUGUGGGCCGCAGGAUGUCCAGUUAGCACAUGAUUAUGUCGUUCAUUAAGUAAAGUUUCAUUUUUAUCGGUCUUUUAGGCCGAGCUUUAUGGGAAUCAAAAAUCUGGCUGUAAGCCAUGGUCAUCAGAAUCCACAAAAAUAAAUGAAAAUUUUCUGUUCUGAAGUACAUUGGUAGGAGCUUUAAUGUAAGAAAGUGAAAUGAGCGAGGAAAUAAACUCCUUCAACAGCUCUUAUUUUGUAAAUGAGAUCCUGGAUCUCGAUGGGACAGUCUGUAGAAAUAAAAGUUAAAUGGAUAAAAGCCCUCUCUGAAAUUGAGAAUAAUGUUAUAAAGUUUCAGAUUUUUCUCCUACAACAACAUCUUAAAGCUCAGUUCCACCGAGUGGAAACAAACUCUAAACUGCCUAAUAAUUCAAGGGGGUCUUGAGUGCAGGGGGCGCUUUGUGAAUUAAUUGGACUUUAUACCAGAGACGCGAGCGGCGGGCUGCUGUGACGUCCUGUCUGACUGUGGCAUGUUGAAAUUCUGUCUGCAUAAUUAAUGUGUUUUAAUUGGAGUGUUUUUCCUGCCGCAUCUCUUAUUCAUGAGCCGGUAUUGGAGGAUGACUGCAGGCCAAUCAGCACGUCUGUGUCAUCGCUGCUGAUCACGACCCGAGGCCCUGCAUGUCUGACGGGAACGACGCAAUCGUUGCGGUGGGAUGGUGCGUUUGAGGACGGCUCAAUCUGCAGUAAAGGAAAAUGUCUGGCUGCUGUUAAUCUGUGAACAUCUACCUGGGAAGUCGGCGGUGGCACCAUCGUCGCUCCCCCGUCCCGUCUCCAUAAGGGUGGCGAACAAAGUGCCGAUGGGGUCCAGAGGGUGGCCCACCCAGCCCUCCAGGUUGGUGAUGGAUGUUACGCCCCUGUGGAGCAGCUCUGAGGGAUCGAGAACAUGGACAGCUGAGUUACUACCAUGAAAAACCAGAACGAAACCUGCUGAGGUUUGGGUUUCUGCGAAGAGCGUCGCCUCAAACAAAACUCCAAUUCAGCAAAGGACGACAGACGGACCUUUUCUGUGGCCGCGGAAAAGCUCCAGCUGCUUCUGCUGCUGCC